rnacentral:rRNA from 1 species
GUGGGGAAUAUUGGACAAUGGGCGAAAGCCUGAUCCAGCCAUGCCGCGUGUGUGAAGAAGGUCUUCGGAUUGUAAAGCACUUUAAGUUGGGAGGAAGGGCAGUAAGUUAAUACCUUGCUGUUUUGACGUUACCAACAGAAUAAGCACCGGCUAACUUCGUGCCAGCAACCGCGGUAAUACGAAGGGUGCAAGCGUUAAUCGGAAUUACUGGGCGUAAAGCGCGCAUAGGUGGUUCAGCAAGUUGAAGGUGAAAUCCCCGGGCUCAACCUGGGAACUGCCUCCAAAACUACUGAGCUAGAGUACGGUAGAGGGUAGUGGAAUUUCCUGUGUAGCGGUGAAAUGCGUAGAUAUAGGAAGGAACACCAGUGGCGAAGGCGACUACCUGGACUGAUACUGACACUGAGGUGCGAAAGCGUGGGGAGCAAACAGGAUUAGAAACCCUUGUAGUCC